rnacentral:rRNA from 1 species
GUCGAGGGGUAGAAGGAGCUUGCUCCUUUGAGACCGGCGCACGGGUGCGUAACGCGUAUGCAAUCUACCUUUUACAGAGGGAUAGCCCAGAGAAAUUUGGAUUAAUACCUCAUAGUAUAUAUCAUUCGCAUGUUUGGUAUAUUAAAGUUCCAACGGUAAAAGAUGAGCAUGCGUCCCAUUAGUUAGUUGGUAAGGUAACGGCUUACCAAGACGAUGAUGGGUAGGGGUCCUGAGAGGGAGAUCCCCCACACUGGUACUGAGACACGGACCAGACUCCUACGGGAGGCAGCAGUGAGGAAUAUUGGUCAAUGGACGCAAGUCUGAACCAGCCAUGCCGCGUGCAGGAAGACGGUCCUAUGGAUUGUAAACUGCUUUUGUACGGGAAGAAACACUCCUACGUGUAGGAGCCUGACGGUACCGUAAGAAUAAGGAUCGGCUAACUCCGUGCCAGCAGCCGCGGUAAUACGGAGGAUCCAAGCGUUAUCCGGAAUCAUUGGGUUUAAAGGGUCCGUAGGCGGUUUAAUAAGUCAGUGGUGAAAUCUGGUCGCUCAACGAUCAAACUGCCAUUGAUACUGUUAGACUUGAAUUACUGUGAAGUAACUAGAAUAUGUAGUGUAGCGGUGAAAUGCUUAGAUAUUACAUGGAAUACCAAUUGCGAAGGCAGGUUACUAACAGUUGAUUGACGCUGAUGGACGAAAGCGGGGAGCGAACAGGAUUAGAUACCCUGGUAGUCCACGCCGUAAACGAUGGAUACUAGUUGUUUGGAGCAAUCUGAGUGACUAAGCGAAAGUGAUAAGUAUCCCACCUGGGGAGUACGAACGCAAGUUUGAAACUCAAAGGAAUUGACGGGGGCCCGCACAAGCGGUGGAGCAUGUGGUUUAAUUCGAUGAUACGCGAGGAACCUUACCAAGGCUUAAAUGGGAAACGACGUAUUUGGAAACAGAUAUUUCUUCGGACGUUUUUCAAGGUGCUGCAUGGUUGUCGUCAGCUCGUGCCGUGAGGUGUCAGGUUAAGUCCUAUAACGAGCGCAACCCCUGUUGUUAGUUGCCAGCGAGUCAUGUCGGGAACUCUAACAAGACUGCCAGUGUAAACUGUGAGGAAGGUGGGGAUGACGUCAAAUCAUCACGGCCCUUACGCCUUGGGCUACACACGUGCUACAAUGGACGGUACAGAGAGCAGCCACUACGCAAGUAGGAGCGAAUCUAUAAAACCGUUCUCAGUUCGGAUCGGAGUCUGCAACUCGACUCCGUGAAGCUGGAAUCGCUAGUAAUCGGAUAUCAGCCAUGAUCCGGUGAAUACGUUCCCGGGCCUUGUACACACCGCCCGUCAAGCCAUGGAAGCUGGGGGUACCUGAAGUCGGUGACC